rnacentral:rRNA from 1 species
GAUGAACGCUGGCGGCGUGCCUAAUACAUGCAAGUCGAGCGAACGGACGAGAAGCUUGCUUCUCUGAUGUUAGCGGCGGACGGGUGAGUAACACGUGGAUAACCUACCUAUAAGACUGGGAUAACUUCGGGAAACCGUAGCUAAUACCGGAUAAUAUUUUGAACCGCAUGGUUCAAAAGUGAAAGACGGUCUUGCUGUCACUUAUAGAUGGAUCCGCGCUGCAUUAGCUAGUUGGUAAGGUAACGGCUUACCAAGGCAACGAUGCAUAGCCGACCUGAGAGGGUGAUCGGCCACCCUGGAACUGAGACACGGUCCAGGCUCCUACGGGAGGCAGCAGUAGGGAAUCUUCCGCAAUGGGCGAAAGCCUGCCGGAGCAACGCCGCGUGAGUGAUGAAGGUCUUCGGAUCGUAAAACUCUGUUAUUAGGGAAGAACAUAUGUGUAAGUAACUGUGCACAUCUUGACGGUACCUAAUCAGAAAGCCACGGCUAACUACGUG